rnacentral:rRNA from 1 species
UACGGAGGGUGCAAGCGUUGUCCGGAUUUAUUGGGUUUAAAGGGUGCGUAGGCGGUUAAUUAAGUCAGUGGUGAAAUCCUGGAGCUCAACUUCAGAACUGCCAUUGAUACUGGUUGACUUGAGUACAGACGAGGUUGGCGGAAUUGAUGGUGUAGCGGUGAAAUGCGUAGAUAUCGGGAGGAACGCCAGUGGCGAAGGCGAUCACCUGGGGUUGUUCUGACGCUGAGGAGCGAAAGCUAGGGGAGCAAACGGG